rnacentral:rRNA from 1 species
GAUGAACGCUAGCGACAGGCUUAACACAUGCAAGUCGAGGGGCAACGGGACGUAGCAAUACGUUGCCGGCGACCGGCGGAUGGGUGAGUAACGCGUAUGCAACCUACCCACGACAGGGGGAUAGCCCGUUGAAAGACGGAUUAAUACCCCAUAAAACAGGGUUCCGCAUGGGACUAUUUGUUAAAGGGUUCUCCGCGAGGGGGACAUCGGUUGUGGAUGGGCAUGCGUUCCAUUAGGCAGUUGGUGAGGUAACGGCUCACCAAACCGACGAUGGAUAGGGGAACCGAGAGGUUGGUCCCCCACACUGGUACUGAGAUACGGACCAGACUCCUACGGGAGCAGCAGUGAGGAAUUUUGGCAAUGGACGGAAGUCUGAACCAGCCAAGUCGCGUGAAGGAAGGCGGCCCUAAGGGUUGUAAACUUCUUUUAGUAAGGGAAUAAAGUGCGUUACGUGUAGUGCAUUGCAAGUACCUUAGAAUAAGGAUCGGCUAACUCCGUGCCAGCAGCCGACGGUAAAAUGCGUACU